rnacentral:rRNA from 1 species
AUUGAACGCUGGCGGCAUGCUUUACACAUGCAGGUCGAACGGCAGCGCGGGGCAACCUGGCGGCGAGUGGCGAACGGGUGAGUAAUAUAUCGGAACGUACCCAAGAGUGGGGGAUAACGUAGCGAAAGUUACGCUAAUACCGCAUACGAUCCAAGGAUGAAAGUGGGGGAUUCGCAAGGACCUCAUGCUCCUGGAGCGGCCGAUAUCUGAUUAGCUAGUUGGUGAGGUAAAGGCUCACCAAGGCGACGAUCAGUAGCUGGUCUGAGAGGACGACCAGCCACACUGGAACUGAGACACGGUCCAGACUCCUACGGGAGGCAGCAGUGGGGAAUUUUGGACAAUGGGCGCAAGCCUGAUCCAGCAAUGCCGCGUGAGUGAAGAAGGCCUUCGGGUUGUAAAGCUCUUUUGUCAGGGAAGAAACGGUGGAGGCUAAUAUCCUUUACUAAUGACGGUACCUGAAGAAUAAGCACCGGCUAACUACGUGCCAGCAGCCGCGGUAAUACGUAGGGUGCAAGCGUUAAUCGGAAUUACUGGGCGUAAAGCGUGCGCAGGCGGUUUUGUAAGUCUGACGUGAAAUCCCCGGGCUCAACCUGGGAAUUGCGUUGGAGACUGCAAGGCUAGAAUCUGGCAGAGGGGGGUAGAAUUCCACGUGUAGCAGUGAAAUGCGUAGAGAUGUGGAGGAACACCGAUGGCGAAGGCAGCCCCCUGGGUCAAGAUUGACGCCCAUGCACGAAAGCGUGGGGAGCAAACAGGAUUAGAUACCCUGGUAGUCCACGCCCUAAACGAUGUCUACUAGUUGUCGGGUCUUAAUUGACUUGGUAACGCAGCUAACGCGUGAAGUAGACCGCCUGGGGAGUACGGUCGCAAGAUUAAAACUCAAAGGAAUUGACGGGGACCCGCACAAGCGGUGGAUGAUGUGGAUUAAUUCGAUGCAACGCGAAAAACCUUACCUACCCUUGACAUGUCAGGAAUCCUGGAGAGGUCCGGGAGUGCCCGAAAGGGAACCUGAACACAGGUGCUGCAUGGCUGUCGUCAGCUCGUGUCGUGAGAUGUUGGGUUAAGUCCCGCAACGAGCGCAACCCUUGUCAUUAGUUGCUACGCAAGAGCACUCUAAUGAGACUGCCGGUGACAAACCGGAGGAAGGUGGGGAUGACGUCAAGUCCUCAUGGCCCUUAUGGGUAGGGCUUCACACGUCAUACAAUGGUACAUACAGAGGGCCGCCAACCCGCGAGGGGGAGCUAAUCCCAGAAAGUGUAUCGUAGUCCGGACCGCAGUCUGCAACUCGACUGCGUGAAGUUGGAAUCGCUAGUAAUCGCGGAUCAGCAUGCCGCGGUGAAUACGUUCCCGGGUCUUGUACACACCGCCCGUCACACCAUGGGAGCGGGUUUUACCAGAAGUAGGUAGCUUAACCGUAAGGAGGGCGCUUACCACGGUAGGAUUCGUGACUGGGGUG